rnacentral:rRNA from 1 species
CCUACGGGAGGCAGCAGUAGGGAAUCUUUCACAAUGGGCGAAAGCCUGAUGGAGCAACGCCGCGUGCAGGAUGACGGCCUUCGGGUUGUAAACUGCUUUUAUUACCGAGAAAUAUGAUGGUAGGUAUUGAAUAAGGACCGGCUAACUACGUGCCAGCAGCCGCGGUCAU